GACGAACGCUGGCGGCGUGCUUAACACAUGCAAGUCGAACGAAGAGCGAUGGAAGCUUGCUUCUAUCAAUCUUAGUGGCGAACGGGUGAGUAACGCGUAAUCAACCUGCCCUUCAGAGGGGGACAACAGUUGGAAACGACUGCUAAUACCGCAUACGAUCUGACCUCGGCAUCGAGGAUAGAUGAAAGGUGGCCUCUACAUGUAAGCUAUCACUGAAGGAGGGGAUUGCGUCUGAUUAGCUAGUUGGAGGGGUAACGGCCCACCAAGGCGAUGAUGAGUAGCCGGUCUGAGAGGAUGAACGGCCACAUUGGGACUGAGACACGGCCCAGACUCCUACGGGAGGCAGCAGUGGGGAAUCUUGCGCAAUGGACGAAAGUCUGACGGAGCAACGCCGCGUGAGUGAUGACGGCCUUCGGGUUGUAAAGCUCGGUUAAUCGGGACGAAAGGCCUUUUUGCGAAUAGUGAGAAGGAUUGACGGUACCGGAAUAGAAAGCCACGGCUAACUACGUG
rnacentral:rRNA from 1 species